GACGAACCGUCCAAACGUUGUUCGGAAUCACUGGGCUUAAAGGGCGCGUAGGCGGGCCACAAAGUCCGGGGUGAAAUCUUUCGGCUUAACCGGAAAAUUGCCUUGGAUACUGGUGGUCUCGAGGGAGGUAGGGGUCUGUGGAACUUCUGGUGGAGCGGUGAAAUGCGUUGAUAUCAGAAGGAACGCCGGUGGCGAAAGCGACGGACUGGACCUCCACUGACGCUGAGGCGCGAAAGCUAGGGGAGCAAACGGG
rnacentral:rRNA from 1 species